AGUGAACGCUGGCGGUAGGCCUAACACAUGCAAGUCGAACGGCAGCACAGUAAGAGCUUGCUCUUACGGGUGGCGAGUGGCGGACGGGUGAGGAAUACAUCGGAAUCUACUUUUUCGUGGGGGAUAACGUAGGGAAACUUACGCUAAUACCGCAUACGACCUACGGGUGAAAGCAGGGGAUCUUCGGACCUUGCGCGAUUGAAUGAGCUGAUGUCGGAUUAGCUAGUUGGCGGGGUAAAGGCCCACCAAGGCGACGAUCCGUAGCUGGUCUGAGAGGAUGAUCGGCCACACUGGAACUGGGACACGGUCCAGACUCCUACGGGAGGCAGCAGUGGGGAAUAUUGGACAAUGGGCGCAAGCCUGAUCCAGCCAUACCGCGUGGGUGAAGAAGGCCUUCGGGUUGUAAAGCCCUUUUGUUGGGAAAGAAAAGCAGCAGGUUAAUACCCCGCUGUUCUGACGGUACCCAAAGAAUAAGCACCGGCUAACUUCGUG
rnacentral:rRNA from 1 species